AUUGAACGCUGGCGGCAGGCUUAACACAUGCAAGUCGAGCGGGGGAAGGUAGCUUGCUACCGGACCUAGCGGCGGACGGGUGAGUAAUGCUUAGGAAUCUGCCUAUUAGUGGGGGACAACAUCUCGAAAGGGAUGCUAAUACCGCAUACGUCCUACGGGAGAAAGCAGGGGAUCUUCGGACCUUGCGCUAAUAGAUGAGCCUAAGUCGGAUUAGCUAGUUGGUGGAGUAAAGGCCUACCAAGGCGACGAUCUGUAGCGGGUCUGAGAGGAUGAUCCGCCACACUGGGACUGAGACACGGCCCAGACUCCUACGGGAGGCAGCAGUGGGGAAUAUUGGACGAUGGGGGGAACCCUGAUCCAGCCAUGCCGCGUGUGUGAAGAAGGCCUUAUGGUUGUAAAGCACUUUAAGCGAGGAGGAGGCUACUCUAGUUAAUACCUAGGGAUAGUGGACGUUACUCGCAGAAUAAGCACCGGCUAACUCUGUGCCAGCAGCCGCGGUAA
rnacentral:rRNA from 1 species